rnacentral:misc_RNA from 1 species
GUUCUUAUCUAUCAUUUCGUCUAAGUGACUGUAAGAGUAUCAACAACAAUAAGCUACAGGAUGAAGCAAAAUGAUUUACAGGUACUCCUAAGAAAUUAGACAUUGGCUGAGAUCUUGUAAUCAAGCAUUUCCCUUAUAUUUAAUCGGAGAGAAGGCCCCAUGGACGAGCAGAUGUGCGCGCUUUUCCAAUAAACUCCCUUUGCGCCUGGCGGCUUGUUUGUUUCCACUGAUCUAACUGCAGCAAUCAAGUUCUCAAUUAGAUCUUCAUCGGGGAAAUUUGCCUUCCCAAAUGGUAGGUGAACAAUCCCUGUCUUGUCUACUCGGAACUCGACUUUGCCUUUCUUGAACUCUUGUAUGGCCUGAGCUAUAUCCGUAGUGACUGUUCCUGCUUUAGGGUUUGGCAUCAGUCCGCGAGGUCCUAAAAGUUUUCCCAAACUCGCAACCUUAGGCAUCAUAUCUGGGGAAGCAAUUAGUUUAUCAAACUCCAUAAAUCCUCCUU